UACGUAGGGUGCAAGCGUUAAUCGGAAUUACUGGGCGUAAAGCGUGCGCAGGCGGUUUUGUAAGUCUGACGUGAAAUCCCCGGGCUCAACCUCGGAAUUGCGUUGGAGACUGCAAGGCUAGAAUCUGGCAGAGGGGGGUAGAAUUCCACGUGUAGCAGUGAAAUGCGUAGAGAUGUGGAGGAACACCGAUGGCGAAGGCAGCCCCCUGGGUCAAGAUUGACGCUCAUGCACGAAAGCGUGGGGAGCAAACAGG
rnacentral:rRNA from 1 species